UACAGAGGGUGCAAGCGUUGUUCGGAAUUAUUGGGCGUAAAGGGCGCGUAGGCGGCCAUUCAAGUCAGAGGUGAAAGCCCAAGGCUCAACCUUGGAACUGCCUUUGAUACUGUUUGGCUUGAGACCGGUAGAGGUAAGUGGAACUGCGAGUGUAGAGGUGAAAUUCGUAGAUAUUCGCAAGAACACCAGUGGCGAAGGCGGCUUACUGGACCGGUUCUGACGCUGAGGCGCGAAAGCGUGGGGAGCAAACAGG
rnacentral:rRNA from 1 species